rnacentral:rRNA from 1 species
ACGGGUGAGUAAUAUAUUGGAACGUACCUUUGAGUGGGGGAUAACUAGUCGAAAGAUUAGCUAAUACCGCAUACGAUCUACGGAUGAAAGUGGGGGCUCGCAAGACCUCAUGCUCAUAGAGCGGCCGAUAUCUGAUUAGCUAGUUGGUGAGGUAAAGGCUCACCAAGGCAUCGAUCAGUAGCUGGUCUGAGAGGACGACCAGCCACACUGGGACUGAGACACGGCCCAGACUCCUACGGGAGGCAGCAGUGGGGAAUUUUGGACAAUGGGGGCAACCCUGAUCCAGCAAUGCCGCGUGAGUGAAGAAGGCCUUCGGGUUGUAAAGCUCUUUUGUCAGGGAAGAAACGGGAUGUUCUAAUACAGCGUCCUAAUGACGGUACCUGAAGAAUAAGCACCGGCUAACUACGUGCCAGCAGCCGCGGUAAUACGUAGGGUGCAAGCGUUAAUCGGAAUUACUGGGCGUAAAGCGUGCGCAGGCGGUUGUGUAAGACAGGUGUGAAAUCCCCGGGCUUAACCUGGGAAUGGCAUUUGUGACUGCACGGCUAGAGUGUGUCAGAGGGGGGUAGAAUUCCACGUGUAGCAGUG